CGUGGCUUGCCUACCCAGCUCAAGUCUUAUGAAGAGUACAGGUGUUGACAGUUUCUGAAGGCAGAGCAGAGGAGGCUCUGGACCUGAUGUCUAUUUGAUGGCAGAGAGAAUGAUAUUUAAUUUUUCUCAUUUUCACACUGAUCACAAAACACACACGCAAUUCAUGAAACUGAAGGCAGAGAAGAACUUCCAAAAGCACUGGGCUGAAGAGAUACCAUGGAUAAAGAUGUGAUGCAUGGACGUCAGCUAGUUUGUAUAAAAAAUUCUGCCAUUUGUUGGGUUUUAUUGGUGCCAUAAGAGCAAUCAAUGGGUUACAUAAACACU
rnacentral:lncRNA from 1 species